rnacentral:rRNA from 1 species
UGGCGGCUGCCUUACCAUGCAAGUCGAACGGCAGCGCGGGAGCAAUCCUGGCGGCGAGUGGCGAACGGGUGAGUAACAUAUCGGAACGUGCCCAGUAAUGGGGGAUAGCUCGGCGAAAGCCGGAUUAAUACCGCAUAUGACCUAGGGGUGAAAGCGGGGGACCUGCAAGGGCCUCGCGUUAUUGGAGCGGCCGAUAUCAAAUUAGCUAGUUGGUGGGGUAAAGGCCUACCAAGGCGACGAUCUGUAGCUGGUCUGAGAGGACGACCACCCACACUGGGACUGAGACACGGCCCAAACUCCUACGGGAGGCAGCAGUGGGGAAUUUUGGACAAUGGGCGCAAGCCUGAUCCAGCCAUGCCGCGUAUGGGAAGAAGGCCUUCGGGUUGUAAACCACUUUUGUCAGGGAAAAAACGGUCUGGACUAAUAAUCUGGGCUAAUGACGGUACCUGAAAAAUAAGCACCGGCUAACUACGUGCCACCAGCCGCGGUAAUACGUAGGGUGCAAGCGUUAAUCGGUAUUACUGGGCGUAAAGCGUGCGCAGGCGGCUUUGCAAGACAGAUGUGAAAUCCCCGGGCUCAACCUGGGAACUGCAUUUGUGACUGCAUGGCUAGAGUACGGUAGAGGGGGAUGGAAUUCCGCGUGUAGCAGUGAAAUGCGUA